GACGAACGCUGGCGGCGUGCUUAACACAUGCAAGUCGAACGGAAAGGCCCUGCUUUUGUGGGGUGCUCGAGUGGCGAACGGGUGAGUAACACGUGAGUAACCUGCCCUUGACUUUGGGAUAACUUCAGGAAACUGGGGCUAAUACCGGAUAGGAGCUCCUGCUGCAUGGUGGGGGUUGGAAAGUUUCGGCGGUUGGGGAUGGACUCGCGGCUUAUCAGCUUGUUGGUGGGGUAGUGGCUUACCAAGGCUUUGACGGGUAGCCGGCCUGAGAGGGUGACCGGCCACAUUGGGACUGAGAUACGGCCCAGACUCCUACGGGAGGCAGCAGUGGGGAAUAUUGCACAAUGGGCGGAAGCCUGAUGCAGCAACGCCGCGUGCGGGAGGACGGCCUUCGGGUUGUAAACCGCUUUCAGCAGGGACGAAGCUUUUUGUGACGGUACCUGCAGAAGAAGCACCGGCUAACUACGUG
rnacentral:rRNA from 1 species